UGAGGUCAGCUUAAUUGUGGAAGGAAUGAGAUGUCUGAUGCAGAGCCAAGGGGCUUGUCUCUCCUAGAGCUAGAUUCACAGCCUAUUUAAUUCCGUCUUUUUUUAAACACUCCCAUUGGCUUUGUAUGUGGUCCUAAAUCCAGUGAAGCGAUGUAUACUGCAUCAAAAGAACAGACUGUGGCUGUAGGAAAUUGAGUAAAUGUUGAACUCCCCCCCCCAUUUUCGCCCUUGUGUGUCACAGCCCAGUGCCUGAAGCACAAGAGUGCCCCUCCGGAUGGCAACAAUAUGGUAACAUGCAGAAAGCAUUGCAGAACAACUAAUAAAGUGGAAAUGUGUGUGGACAGUGCAGUAUAACUCCACCACUAAUGCACCAUUAUUGCCUCAGUGAAAUCUUGCAGUCUGGA